rnacentral:rRNA from 1 species
UACGUAGGGGGCAAGCGUUGUCCGGAUUUAUUGGGCGUAAAGAGCGUGUAGGCGGCUUUACAGGUCCGUUGUGAAAACUCGAGGCUCAACCUCGAGACGCCGGUGGAAACCGUAAAGCUAGAGUCCGGAAGAGGAGAGUGGAAUUCCUGGAUGUAGCGGUGAAAUGCGCAGAUAUCAGGAGGAACACCGGUGGCGAAGGCGGUUCUCUGGGCCUUACCUGACGCUGAGGAGCGAAAGCAUGGGGAGCAAACAGG